ACCCGUUCCACUAUGCAAAUCGCAGUCCAAGAAAACUAAAGUUACAUCAAACCACUCAGAAUACAAAAUUUUCGAUCAUCAAUCUAUAGAUCUACGAAACCAAACACAAAUCCUUCCACAACACUUAACCCUGACCAACAGUACACCAAAACCGAAAACAACGGAGGCUCAAAAUCACGCCUCAAGUUACUGUAGCAAAAUGAUUUUAUAAGGGCUAAUCUAAAUCUAGGAUUUAAUCUGAGAAAUUGAACCAAAAACAAAGAAGAAAGAUGAAGAAAUCGCACGCAGGCGAUGAUGAGCCAGAGAGAGGAAAAAAUUCUAGAACCCAGAAAAUAGAUUGAAUCAAUAAUCCGUCCCUCUCUCUCCAAUAGUCAUAUUGGAUCCAAUAUCGAAGAUUUAAUCCCAGCCAUACAUUUUAUUAGACAAAUCUCAACCAUCCAAAAGAAGCACAAUCUUUGGCACAAGUAACCAUCCCUUUGGAGGGCUACCAUGUUAAGGCCUCCUCAACCCAAAUGUCAACUGAAUCAAAUGUCCAAAAUAACACUAAUUUUAAAGUGUUUUGAGAAACACGGUCUUUCAAUCAUCGGACAAGACGUAUUAGUUAAUAGAAAAUUGAAAAUAAGGCUUUGACGAAAGAAAUUAAAGAAAUAAUUGCUACCAUGAGCAAAGAUUAAGGAACUUGGUUGUAAUUAAUAUGUGGCAUAUCAAAUAAAAAUUACAGUGGCAAUGUAACCACCAUUAUAUUUAUUACCUAGAACAAAUUAUGUUUUAGUUGCGUACUUACAAAGAUGAUGAAGAAAAUGAUGGUUUUCAAAAGAAAUGUUCAGUUAUUGUCGUUUCUGUAGCCAUAUUGGGCACUCAAUCAAAGCAUACAGGAUUAUCGAGAUAUAGAUCCAUAAGAAAAAUGAUCAAACUGAAAAGGAAACCACAUGUAGGGAUUUUCAUGUUCCCAAUUGAUAAAAACAGAUGUAAAAACGAUAAUAUGCAGAAACGUAUACAAUGUAAAAUCGCAAAAAAUGUUGACCCAGUUCAGCUAUUUCCUAACGUGGGAGGCUCAGCUACCAGCCCAAUCCACCAAGUGCACCAAGUAAAACCUUCUACAUAGAGAGUUUACAAAUGGAACCAAAAAUCAAAUCUCACAAGUGCUGAUCAUCGAUCCAAACAUCUCCUAAAACUUAACCAAUAAAUACUCAACCCUAUCACACAAAUCAAAAAAAAAUAAAAACUAAUCAGAACUACCGAAUACGGACUCAAGUUUCUGUUAUAAUGUACGAAAAAGAUUUACAGAUCUAUUAACGAUCAACAACACAAUAUAUGGAAGAAAAUGAAGAGAUCACUCGAAAAAGAGUAGAGAGAUCAGAGAGCCAUUUUCAGAAAUCAGAACUAAAUCUCAACGUCAAAGGCCAAGAAACCAUGUGUAAUCUAGGCAACAAGUGAUCACAACCACUGAUUUUAAUUAAUGGCUCACAACACAGGAGAUAAAGCACAAUAUGGGUUUCAUUUAAUCAUCCACAGGAGAAGCACAAUAUGGAUUUUAUUUCUUCUUCCACAUUUUAAUUACAAUUAAGGUUCUUAAUCUUUAUUCAUUAUAAUACUUAUGUCCCUAACAAUUUUUGUAUCAUUCUUAUCCUCAAACUUUUCAACAAUUAACAAAUUUUGUAUUUUACAAUUUUAUAUUCAAAAAUCCGUUGAAAUAACGUAAAACAACUUAUAUUCCUAUCAUAGAUUAAAAAUUAAAUAAAUAAAAG
rnacentral:lncRNA from 1 species